ACUCUUCACACGUUCACCUAAAUUUCUUCCCACUCGUUCCAACUCUUUUUCCACAUGAUCCAAUUCUCCUAUUUUAAUAAAAUUCCUUCAAUAUUUAUUUUUCAAAUCUCAAAGCAUACCAUCUAGUUGCACGGAUCCCAAAGCCUCAUCCCAUCUCAGCCAUCAUCUUGCAUCCACGUUAUCCAACUCCACGCUUCUCAAAC
rnacentral:lncRNA from 1 species